rnacentral:rRNA from 1 species
CCUACGGGGGGCAGCAGUGAGGAAUAUUGGUCAAUGGUCGGGAGACUGAACCAGCCAAGCCGCGUGAGGGAGGAAGGUACAGAGUAUCGUAAACCUCUUUUGUCAGGGAACAAAGACUGGGACGCGUCCCCGGAUGAGUGUACCUGAAGAAAAAGCAUCGGCUAACUCCGUGCCAGCAGCCGCGGUAAUACGGGGGAUGCGAGCGUUAUCCGGAUUGAUUGGGUUAAAGGGGUGCGCAGGCGGUCUGUUAAGUCAGCGGUCAAAGCCCGGGGCGAAACCCCGGCCCGCCGUUGAAACUGGCAGUCUCGAGUUGGAGAGAAGUAUGCGGAAUGCGCGGUGUAGCGGUGAAAUGCAUAGAUAUCGCGCAGAACUCCGAUUGCGAAGGCAGCAGGCCGGCUCCAAACUGACGCUGAGGCACGAAAGCGUGGGUAUCGAACAGGAUUAGAUACCCUUGUAGUC